UAUUUUAAACAAAUUUAAGAUUAGGUAUUAAUUACGGGCCGAAAUCUUUAUUAAUUUACAAAAUUUUAAUUAUACAUAUUAUUUUAAGUAAAAUAAGUUUAUUAUCUUAUAUAUAAUUUAUAAUAUAUAGUGCCGAAAUAGCGUUGUUCAAAUUUUAUUAAUAAGAGUUGCGAUUUAAAAGUAAGCCAAUGGGAUUACCAACCCUAUACCGAGUUGAGAAUCUAAUUAAAACUGCAUUUAAAUACAAAGCCAAAAAUAAUUUAUAUGCAAAUAAAGGUAUUUUUUUAAAACCUUAUACAAAUUAGUUUUUCGGAAAUUCACUUGCGGUACCGGAAACCCUUCUGGCAUGCCGAUCCCCACUUGGAUAUCGGAGGAUAUAUAAAGAAAAUAAAGCAAAAUUUUGCCCAACCAAUAUAAUUACGUGUUUUAAAUUUUAAAACAUUGUACCUUAUAUUUACAAGGUUUUCCUAUUACCGUUACAGCGUUUCUAAUAUUGGGUAUUAACCACGCCACAUUAAAAAUUAAACCCCAAACCCCUUUUAAUACAUUUAUUAGUAAUAUAAAUAAAAACAGACAAUAUAAAUGUAAAAAAAACAUGGACGCCGGAUUUAUUUUAUAGUAUUAAUAAGCAAAUGCGUUUUAUAAGAAUACCAAACGACAAACGUAACAAGUUUAAACACCAAUUAAUAUAACAAAUAAAUGACUUAAUAUUGUAAAAUUACCCGCGCCGAACAGAAAUUGCAACUGCAAUAUUAAUUAACUAUUACUGCCUGCUAAUAGUAUAAUUAUUAGACAGUUUUAUAUAAAAUUAUAAUAUAUAUAAACGGUGUAAAAUAUAAAGAAAGUAUAGAAAAACUAUUUUAUUUUUACCAGUAUCGGAACGUUAACUAAUAUAUAUAUAUAUAUUAUGACAAAUUGUUUACUAUUGCGCGGUAAUAUGUCUGCUGGGGCUAUUUAGUACUAUAUAUUUAAAUAGAAUUAUAAACAGUUUGUAUUAAUAAUAAAUAUAUAAAUACGCGCAAAUUGUAUUUUGAUUUGCCAUUUAGAAAUAAUUAAUUAAUACGACUUUAUUAAUGCGAAUAGGCAGGCAAAUUACAUUUUACGGUUUUUAACGGAUUAAACCAAUUUAUGAAAUAUAUAUGCAAAUUUAAUACUAUUUAUUAUAUAUAAAGUAACGGCAUUAUAAAGAAAAAGAAUAUAGACGUAUAAAUAAUACUAAUAAUAUAUAUAUUAAUUGACCUUAUUUAAUUAAAGCAAAUAAAUCCCUGCGGUAUAUCUCGUAUUUAAUUUGGAAAUAAAUUAUAUAAAUAGAAUAAUUUCCUUUUUAUUAUAUAAAAGGAGUUUUCAUCCAACAUAUACCGUUUUAUAUUAAAUUAUAAUUACUUAGGCUUUUUACCAACUUAUUAUAGCAAAGAUUUUGUAACUUGUUUAAUUAAAUUCAUUUGAUUUUAUUACGUAAAAUGAAAUAUAAUCAAGGAAAAUAAAAGCAAAACGCAAAUAAAACCUCAUAGUAAAUAUAAUAAUUACGCCUAAAGGAUGAAAUAUAUUUAAAUUUAAAAAUAUUAAUAUUACGGGUUUACAAAUUUCAAUUUAUUAGUAAAAAUAAAAUACAUAUUUUCCACAAUAUUAAAACCAAAUACAGACGAAUUAGCAUAUAUAUUAGCAAAUAUAUAAUUAUCCUUAAAUAAAUAAGUUAAAAAUAGCUAAUAUAGGUUCGAUAUUUGGUUAGUAAGUCUAAUGUUUAAUUUGUAUUAACUUUUGUUCAAAAAAUUCAAAUGCAACAAAUUAAAACCAUUUGCACUUGAAAACCAGAGAAAAAUAUUUUUCAAGAUAUUAAAUAUAAACUAAAAAUACUUAUAAAUUUAGUUUGGCAAUUUUCCAAUUUGCUGCCAAAAUAUAAUAUUAAUAAAUAAUAUAAAAUAUAAAACUGUUUUUCCUAAUAAUGACGGCGAUUGAAAUACGAAAGUUUUAAAUUGCAACUAAAAGAUUAUAAUUGGUUAACGUAAUUAUAAAUUCUAAAAUAAUAUAAUUACACAAAAAUAAACGAUUGUAAAUAUAAACUCAAAUAACUUGAUUGUAAAAAUCGUUUAUUUAGGCAACCGUCAAUAGAAUAAAACAUAACGUAAUAAUUAUUUUUCCGAACAAGUUUGUUUUUUACUUUCAAAUUGGCGCUAAAACUUUCCGUUAAUUGCGCUUGAAAUUGACCUAAUUUUGCAAGUAAAACAAAAUAAAUUAAACUAUUAGAGUUCCGAGAAACUUUCCCUGCAUGGCGAAAUGAAAUAAAAGAAUAUUAUAUGGGAAAUAUAUAGUUUGUUUCUAUUAUAUAUUUGCUUGACGAUAUAAUAAAUAAAAUAAUAAAACAAAAGGUUUUAUAAUACCUGCACUUAGCAAAUACCUCGUCUGUUCUAAUUGUAAAACCUUGUUAUACGCACGUAAUAACUUUGUUUAUAAUAUUUUUCUGUACCGCACAAAUAUUAUCCCUCGCCCCGCCCCCCAUAUAAAACCCAAUUUAACAACCGCAUUUUUAAUAUUAUUUUAAUUAUUCCCUACCGUUAUUAAAUUAUCUUUCGGUAACGUUACCCCGAAAUAAAAAAGUUCCCUUUAAUAAACGACCGCAAGUUGUUAAAAGCCAGAUUUAUAUAGAUAUUAAACAUAUUUUCCAACGCGGAAAUACAAAUUUCAAAGCAAGAAAUACCAAAUUAGUAAAACCUGGCAGAAACAUGUAAAUAAACUUUUGCAUUAUUUUAAAAUAAUAUAAUUAUUAAUAUUUAUAAGAGUAAUAAUUCGCGGAAGAAUAAAGAACAAACUUUGGCAAUACGGCGGCCUAAAUUAAUUAUACAAAACAGUAUCAAAAUUAAAUAAUCUCGCGGAACCUAAAAUAAAAGUUAUAUGAGAAUAUAAAGGAAUUAUUUGUAAUUUAUUAAUUAUUAACCAAAAUAAUUAUUUCGAGGGCUGUAAGACACGCCUAAUAUUUAAAUUCUUUCAUAAUAAAUUAAAUAGCUUUUCGCGGAAAAUUAUUCAACGUAUUCCAAAAAUAUACUAAGCAACGUUAAUAAAAAUAGUAUAGUACGCCAAAUAACUUUUAAUUUUAAUUGUUAUUCUGGGCGGGCUUUGAAAAGGAUAAAAAACACUGAUUAAUAUUUGUACCGUCGUCCGAAUACCUGCUUGCAUUAAAAUUACAAAGAACGUCUUACAAUUAAUAAUAUUUAAAACUAAAACAUAUGGUAAAAUUAUAAAAUUUAUAAACCAACAAAUUAUAAAAUAUAUUAAAAUUUUAAUUAUUAAGCUUUAAUAAUGGCGGUCAAUUAAUUGGAAAUUCAAAACAUUAAACCAAAACAAUUCGAAAUCAAAAUGUAACAAUCGCGAAGAUAUUAUAUUAAAAAGAAUAAAUCAAAUUAUAUUGGGUUGAAAAUUAAUUAGCUCCCGGAAUAAGCAAAUAAUAUAAAAGCUCCCGACGUUUAUAUAACGGAACUGACAAACGGUAAUAUAGAAAUAUAAUAUACUGCCUUGUAAUAUUUUAAAUGCAUUUAAAAUUAAUAUGACAAAAUUAAAUUGAAAUUAUAUAUUUACUAACUGAAACUGCACCCGCGCAAAGAUUAUAACAAAAUUAAUAAAUAUUAAUGCGGACAAAGAAAUUACACUAAAUAGAAUAUUACUAACGUAAGCGGCCCCUUAGUAAAUAAUUAUAAAUAUAGUAAAAUAGUGGUUUAUAAAUUUUAUUAAUAUAUUCGGGAACCAAAAUAAAAGCAAAUAUUAAAUUUCGGGGGAAAAUAAUAUAUGUGCCACCGGAAUUAAAGAGGUUUCCGAAAUAACUAAUAAUAUUAUUUUAAAGUCCGGGUAUAAUCCACGUUUUGAAAGGCAGAUUUAAAUAAACUAGGCAAUAUUAUUAGAGAAUUAACCAUUAAAUAUUAGACCCGAUAAUUUAUCAAUUUUCCUACGUUAAUUAAAAUGUACCACCUUUACACAUUUUCUGCGAAAUAUAUAACAAAAUAUAUAAUUCAAUUUGCAAAAUAUAUUUUAAAUAGUUUUCAUGCUGUAAAAUUAUAAUUUUAUUAGUUGCAGUUAACAUAUAAUAUUAAUAUAAAAGGCUUCUGCUAGAUAAUUUAUUAACUUAUAUAAUAUUAAUUUGCAAAUUUGCAAAAAAGAUUAUAUAUAAUGUUUUUAUCCCGAACAUUUAAAAAACAUAGCCAUUAAAAUUUAACGAUUCCAAAGAAAGUUUUACAGAUUUGCAAAAGGGAAAAUUUAAUUUGAAACAAAAGUUUAAUUUUAAAUUUAUAACGGAUGUAAUUAACGCCAAAACUUAAGACUGACUUAAGUAUACUUUUUUAAUAUUUACGAUUGUAAUAAACCUUUGGGUUAUUUUAAAUAUAUAUUAUUCCCCACAAUAUAUAAUAGUAUGGAAGUUUUAUCCAAGAUUCGAAACAAUAAAGGUUUUGGUAUUUUUAAACUCGAAAAUAUGAAAUUCAAAAAUUUGAUUCGCAGUUUCAAAACCCAUAUAUGGUAAAUAUUAAUUAUAUAUACUACUCUUUCUAAUGUUAGGCCGCAAACCAAAUUUUAGACAAAUCAAAAAAAUCGCGAACCCAAUAUUGAAAAAAGAGUUCUCAAAUACUUUAAAAUAUUUGGAAUAUUAAAACCGUAAACAGUUCCAGAAUUCGAGCUCGAAUAAUUUAACUUAACAUGAACCCUUUAUUUUUAUCUACAAACUUGCCGUACGCGCUAAAUUAAAAACUACUUUUCCCCAACUAAUAUUUAAAAUUGAAAAAAUUAGAUUUCAAAAAUAUAAAUUGAAAUUUGUUAUUAGGGGGUUUUAACAGGUGGGAAGUUUAAACUGCUUUGAAGAUUUUAAUAAUAUAAACAUAUUAUUUACUUUCCAUAUUUUGUUAAUUAUAAUUAUUAUAUAAGACUGGGAAAUAAUAUAAUUUAUUCUUAUAAAUAUAUGUUUAAUAUUAAAUAUAUAAUAUUAUUCGAAGUUUUAAUUUUAACUUUAACCGCAAAUUUAUAAUUAUAUUUGGGAAAAACCGCACGAGGACCCAAUUAUAAUAAUAUUAUAUAUUUCUUUUCGUUUUGGCAAUAUUUAAAAGUUAAAUGUUAGAACGAAAUAUAAAUAUAUUAAAUAUAAACUUACAAUUAAAUUCGGCAAAAGGUUUGCUAUAUUACUUAUAAAUAGUACUACUAUUUCAAUAAUUUAAAUAAAAACAAACUAAUAAACAAACGCAAAUCGUCCUAAUAUUGCUCAGGUGUUUCAAAUUGCCAAAAACAUGGAUUAAUUAAAGUUUCGACUACCCUCGGCCCAAAAUCCGGCAGAUUUCGGACUUAGGCACUAGGGUAGGUCCUCUGGUGGAUCUAAGAUAAUCUCCUUCUAGGAAAUUACCUAAUUACUAAAAUUCCUCUCCUUAAUACCCGAGGACCCCCCAGGGAUAUUCAAGACAUUUGCCUAUUUAAACCCUUUUGGAAAAAGGAAAAAAAACACAGACCAAAUAAUUAUACCUCGGUUUAAUAGGAAACCCCGCGCGUAAUAAUAAUGUUAAUUCUAGCCCCUAAAUCCAACACCUGUUUAUCCUCGUAAUUACUAUUUUCGUAACUUUUAUCGUCUGAAAAGAACAAAAUAAAAGAAACAGUAAAUAUAUUCCGGGCUAUAAUUAUAAUCCUUCGGUAACUAUUUUACAAAUUAUAUAUUAUUUUUGGUGAUAGGCCUUUCGUAAAUCUAUCGAUUAAGAAAACGUUGUUAUUGGGUAAAAGGUAAUAUAUUCUUAUUAAACCACUAAUUUAUCUACGUUCGAACUUCUAAUCGUCUUUUUCCUUUUAUA
rnacentral:sRNA from 1 species